CAGCAGCCACGGGAAUACGGAGGGUGCAAGCGUUAAUCGGAAUUACUGGGCGUAAAGCGUGCGUAGGCGGUUCGUUAAGUCUGUUGUGAAAGCCCCGGGCUCAACCUGGGAAUGGCAAUGGAUACUGGCGAGCUAGAGUGUGUCAGAGGAUGGUGGAAUUCCCGGUGUAGCGGUGAAAUGCGUAGAGAUCGGGAGGAACAUCAGUGGCGAAGGCGGCCAUUUGGGACAACACUGACGCUGAGGCACGAAAGCGUGGGGAGCAAACAGGAUUAGAUACCCCUGUAGUCCCUGUCUCUUAUAC
rnacentral:rRNA from 1 species